AUCUAACUGACGAGUCCCAAAUAGGACGAAAUGCGCAUCCUGAAU
rnacentral:hammerhead_ribozyme from 1 species